GGCUCAAUGGUCUAGUGGUAUGAUUGUUGCUUCGGGUUACCCCCCCAUGUGGUCAACGCAUGGUUUCUCAAAUGUGACAGGCCCCGGGUUCAAAUCCCGGUUGAGCCC